CUACCACUGGGGGUCGCAAGUGCCCACAAUAAUGCUCCAUUUCUUUUUAAUAAAACAAACAGGAAGUAUCUUUUUUGUGAAGGAGAUUUGUCCUUCACUGAUGCACUGCCCUUUGGUUGAUGAAUACUCAGAAAAGGGGUAAGGACAGAGGAUGUUGUGAAGGGUAGAACAGGGGAAAAAUAGGGGGCAAAGCUUGGAGCCUGUUUCCAAAGAGCAAAAGAAUGGAUCUCCUCCCAGGUUACAAAAAGGCUGUCACUUCUGUCUCGAGCACCUUUCUCACUCUCUCACUCUUUCGUUUUGAAGAAAGCCAGCUGUCAAGUUGUGAGCUGCCAACAACCAGGAGGAUCAAUAAAAAUGGAGAGACAGGCUGGGCACUGGCUCAUGCCUGUAAUCCCAGCACUUUGCAUGGCCAAUGUGGAAGGAUUGCUUGAGG